UAUUACGAGAUUUAUAAGUUUUUAGCUGUUCCCGAUCACCAAUAAAAUAAAUUAUUUGCAAUAUUCUCUAUUACAGCUAACUAAUUAAGAAAAAUACAUGCAAUUAUAGCUGAUGCAUUUUUAACGGAAGGUGCACGGGAUGACGUGGUGCACUUGGCGCAAGCAAAAGUUGAUCCUGAAUAUCUAUCCUGCCUAUAAAUAUCGCGCCAAAUUAGCCGUUUAAGCAAACAACAACAAGCAAAUAUAUAUAUCUGAGUUAAUAUUUCUUCUCUAGUCCGAAUAUAUAAUCUACUACACCUCGAGGCCGCCAUGGUUCACUUCAUGCACAACAAACGCCAGAUGACGAUGGAAGAGUUCCAGAGGUGGCUGAAGGUCGUCGACGCCAACGGCGACGGCCAGAUCAGCCGAAAGGAGCUCGAAGACGCGCUCCGCACGCUCGGGGUGCACUCGGUCCACCUCAGGGCCUGGUUCGCGGUCCAGAAAGCCGACCUCAACCACAACCGCGCCGUCGACGGCGAUCAGGAGAUCAAGAAGCUCACUGCUCAUGCGGAGAAGCACUGGGGGAUCGUCCUGGUCACUAAUAACUAGUAUCCGUGCAUGCGUGUGAACGCACGUACGGAGACAAUCGCGCAUCUUCGAUUAGUCACCAGUUAGUAAUUAAGCUACUAUUUUGCAUGGUUUUAUCUACGUCUGACCUAAGUAGCGUGUGAACUAUAUAGUUUUAAGUGCGUGGUGCAGGUACGUAGUUAGUUGCUGCUUCUUAAGGUACGUAGCAGUGUAUGUAUGUGAUGUGUGGUUGCUCAAAAAAGCCUGAGCAUAUCAUAUAUAUAUAUAUAUAUAUAUGUUCACUGUUGCUUAUAUUAAACUUUGCAUCCCAGUUUAUCGGAUAUUUACUUUUUCCUUAUAAUUUUUUUAACCUGCUUUCUCAUUUGGUUUCCCCCUCCCCUUACUUUUUAAUUGCUAUAACCUGGAUUUUGAACUGUCGAAUUAUUUGGUACUAACCAUUAAUCCUAAAAUCUCGAACGGUUAGAAAUAUACGACUAUUCAUUUAAAAAAUACAGAUACAGCGUUCUCGGGUUUCGAGGACUUGGCUUAACUAGUCUCACUAGGGAUGUCAACGGGUCGGAUUCGAGGCAGAUUUUUAAAAUUCCGAACCCGACCAAAAACCCGAAACCCGAUUCUCCAAGUUUCAAAAUUUCGAAACAUAUUAUAAAAAACACUAGUUCUAAAAUACAUAUUCAAAUACAACAUUAAACAUUUAUGCCAUAUAAUAACUACAUCCAAAUAUAAAAAAUAUAAACUUAAAUAAUUAAAAACAGUAAUACAAUUUUUAAAUAUUUAAUAAAAAAUUUUAAAAAUUUGAUAGUUCCAUUCCCCAAUAAU
rnacentral:lncRNA from 1 species